CCUACGGGAGGCAGCAGUGGGGAAUAUUGCACAAUGGGGGAAACCCUGAUGCAGCGACGCCGCGUGAGUGAAGAAGUACUUCGUUAUGUAAAGCUCUAUCAGCAGGGAAGAAAAUGACGGUACCUGAGUAAGAAGCCCCGGCCAAUGACGUGCCAGCAGCCGCGGUAAUACGGAGGGGGCCAGCGUUAUCCGGAUGUACUGGGCGUAAAGGGAGCGUAGACGGCAGUGCAAGUCUGGAGUGAAAGGCGCGGGCUCAACCCGCGGACUGCACUGGAAACUGUACGGCUGGAGUGCAGGAGAGGUAAGUGGAAUUCCUGGUGUAGCGGUGAAAUGCGUAGAUAUUAGGAGGAACACCAGUGGCGAAGGCGGCUUACUGGACUGUAACUGACGUUGAGGCGCGAAAGCGUGGGGAGCAAACAGGAUUAGAUACCCUAGUAGUC
rnacentral:rRNA from 1 species